GGCGCAGUGGCCAAGUGGUAAGGCGUCGGUCUCGUAAACCGAAGAAUAACGAGUUCGAACCUCGUCUGUGCCU